rnacentral:rRNA from 1 species
UGGGGAAUCUUGGACAAUGGGGGCAACCCUGAUCCAGCCAUGCCGCGUGAGUGAUGAAGGCCUUAGGGUCGUAAAGCUCUUUCGCCUGUGAAGAUAAUGACGGUAGCAGGUAAAGAAACCCCGGCUAACUCCGUGCCAGCAGCCGCGGUAAUACGGAGGGGGUUAGCGUUGUUCGGAAUUACUGGGCGUAAAGCGCACGUAGGCGGACCAGAAAGUUGGGGGUGAAAUCCCGGGGGCUCAACCCCGGAACUGCCUCCAAAACUAUUGGUCUAGAGUUCGAGAGAGGUGAGUGGAAUUCCAAGUGUAGAGGUGAAAUUCGUAGAUAUUUGGAGGAACACCAGUGGCGAAGGCGGCUCACUGGCUCGAUACUGACGCUGAGGUGCGAAAGUGUGGGGAGCAAACAGGAUUAGAUACCCUGGGUAGUCCA